rnacentral:rRNA from 1 species
AGCGAACGCUGGCGGCAGGCCUAACACAUGCAAGUCGAACGAAGUCUUCGGACUUAGUGGCGGACGGGUGAGUAACACGUGGGAACGUACCUUUUGGUUCGGAACAACUCAGGGAAACUUGGGCUAAUCCCGGAUGAGCCCUUGGGGGGAAAGAUUUAUCGCCGAAAGAGCGGCCCGCGUUAGAUUAGCUAGUUGGUGAGGUAAAGGCUCACCAAGGCUACGAUCUAUAGCUGGUCUGAGAGGAUGAUCAACCACACUGGGACUGAGACACGGCCCAGACUCCUACGGGAGGCAGCAGUGGGGAAUCUUGCGCAAUGGGCGAAAGCCUGACGCAGCCAUGCCGCGUGAAUGAUGAAGGUCUUAGGAUUGUAAAAUUCUUUUACCAGGGACGAUAAUGACGGUACCUGGAGAAAAAGCCCCGGCUAACUUCGUGCCAGCAGCCGCAGUAACAC